rnacentral:rRNA from 1 species
GGGAAUCUGCCCUCAGGUUCGGAAUAACCAUUGGAAACGAUGGCUAAUACCGGAUGAUGACGUUAAGUCCAAAGAUUUAUCGCCUGAGGAUGAGCCCGCGUAGGAUUAGCUAGUUGGUGUGGUAAAGGCGCACCAAGGCGACGAUCCUUAGCUGGUCUGAGAGGAUGAUCAGCCACACUGGGACUGAGACACGGCCCAGACUCCUACGGGAGGCAGCAGUGGGGAAUAUUGGACAAUGGGCGCAAGCCUGAUCCAGCAAUGCCGCGUGAGUGAUGAAGGCCUUAGGGUUGUAAAGCUCUUUUACCCGGGAUGAUAAUGACAGUACCGGGAGAAUAAGCUCCGGCUAACUCCGUGCCAGCAGCCGCGGUAAUACGGAGGGAGCUAGCGUUGUUCGGAAUUACUGGGCGUAAAGCGCACGUAGGCGGCUUUGUAAGUUAGAGGUGAAAGCCUGGAGCUCAACUCCAGAAUUGCCUUUAAGACUGCAUCGCUUGAAUCCAGGAGAGGUGAGUGGAAUUCCGAGU